rnacentral:rRNA from 1 species
UGGGGAAUUUUGGACAAUGGGGGAAACCCUGAUCCAGCCAUCCCGCGUGUGCGAUGAAGGCCUUCGGGUUGUAAAGCACUUUUGGCAGGAAAGAAACGUCAUGGGUUAAUACCCCGUGAAACUGACGGUACCUGCAGAAUAAGCACCGGCUAACGACGUGCCAGCAGCCGCGGUAAUACGUAGGGUGCAAGCGUUAAUCGGAAUUACUGGGCGUAAAGCGUGCGCAGGCGGUUCGGAAAGAAAGAUGUGAAAUCCCAGAGCUCAACUUUGGAACUGCAUUUUUAACUACCGGGCUAGAGUGUGUCAGAGGGAGGUGGAAUUCCGCGUGUAGCAGUGAAAUGCGUAGAUAUGCGGAGGAACACCGAUGGCGAAGGCAGCCUCCUGGGAUAACACUGACGCUCAUGCACGAAAGCGUGGGGAGCAAACAGG